rnacentral:rRNA from 1 species
UACAGAGGUCCCAAGCGUUGUUCGGAUUCAUUGGGCGUAAAGGGUGCGUAGGCGGCGCGGUAAGUCGGGUGUGAAAUCUCGGGGCUUAAACUCCGAAACUGCAUUCGAUACUGCCGUGCUUGAGGACUGGGAGAGGAGACUGGAAUUUACGGUGUAGCGGUGAAAUGCGUAGAUAUCGUAAGGAAGACCAGUGGCGAAGGCGGGUCUCUGGACAGUUCUGACGCUGAGGCACGAAGGCCAGGGGAGCAAACGGG